rnacentral:rRNA from 1 species
GACGAACGCUGGCGGCGUGCUUAACACAUGCAAGUCGAACGGAAAGGCCCUGCUUUUGUGGGGUGCUCGAGUGGCGAACGGGUGAGUAACACGUGAGUAACCUGCCCUUGACUUUGGGAUAACUUCAGGAAACUGGGGCUAAUACCGGAUAGGAGCUCCUGCUGCAUGGUGGGGGUUGGAAAGUUUCGGCGGUUGGGGAUGGACUCGCGGCUUAUCAGCUUGUUGGUGGGGUAGUGGCUUACCAAGGCUUUGACGGGUAGCCGGCCUGAGAGGGUGACCGGCCACAUGGGGACUGAGAUACGGCCCAGACUCCUAGGGGGGGCGGCAGGGGGAAAUAUGGCACAAGGGGCGGAAGCGUGAGGCGGCAGCGCCGCGUGCGGGAUGACGGCUUUGGGUUUGUAACCCGCUUCCCCCGGAAACGAAGGGUGAGUGAGGGUAGUGGGAAGAAAGGCCCCGGCUACCUACGUG